AUCUAGCUGACAAGUCCCAAAUAGGACGAAAUGCAUAUCCUGUAU
rfam:Schistosoma haematobium scaffold553_43, whole genome shotgun sequence.